UACGUAGGUGGCUAGCGUUGUCCGGAAUCAUUGGGCGUAAAGCGCGUGUAGGCGGCCCUUUAAGUCUGAUGUGAAAGUCGGGGGCUCAACCCUCGGAUGCCGGUGGAUACUGUCGGGCUAGAGUACGGAAGAGGCGAGUGGAAUUCCUGGUGUAGCGGUGAAAUGCGCAGAUAUCAGGAGGAACACCAAUUGCGAAGGCAGCUCGCUGGGACGUCACUGACGCUGAGACGCGAAAGCGUGGGGAGCAAACGGG
rnacentral:rRNA from 1 species